CUACCAUGGCAGUCACGGGUAACGGAGAAUUAGGGUUCGAUUCCGGAGAGGGAGCCUGAGAAACGGCUACCACAUCUACGGAAGGCAGCAGGCGCGCAAAUUGCCCAAUCCCGACACGGGGAGGCAGUGACAAGAAAUAACAACUCUAGGUUUUCUUAGAAGUGUAAUGAGGAUAAUUUACUAACCUUACCAAAUGCAAUUGGAGGGCAAGUCUGGUGCCAGCAGCCGCGGUAAUUCCAGCUCCAAUAGCGUAUAUUAAAGUUGUUGCAGUUAAAAAGCUCGUAGUUGAAAAUCUGAUUGCUCAGGUCUCCAGCCUUUAGGCGGGGAUUCUGACAGUCAUCCGCUUGCAAACAUAUGUUCGAUCUUCACCGGUUGGCUAUGUGAGUAAGCACUUUACCUUGAGAAAAACAGAGUGUUCCAGGCAGGUUUGUCCGGAAUGCAUUAGCAUGGAAUAAUAGAACAUGACUGAAGUCUAUUUAUUGGUUAAAGGCUUUAGUAAUGAUUAAUAGGAACAGUCGGGGGCAUUCGUACUCAGCAGUCAGAGGUGAAAUUCUAAGAUUUGCUGAAGACGAACUAAUGCGAAAGCAUUUGCCAAGGAUGUUUUCAUUAAUCAAGAACGAGAGUUAGGGGAUC
rnacentral:rRNA from 1 species